GCAGUCCCACUGGCAUAUCAUCUUGAUGCAGUGCGCAACAUCAACCCUGAUAAAACAUGGGGGGAGUUUGGCAGACUGGGUUCCAAGAAGGACAUGAAAGCAUUCAUUAAGUAGUGACAGAAAAACCUGUCCAGUCCAAUAUCUCGGAUGCUACCACUAGUGGCCAAAUUUGGAAGGUGGCUUGGCUCAGGAUCUCCAACAUCCAUCAGAUCUGCUGCCUUCGCUGACCUCCAUACAGCCGGUUCCAUUCUGCCCUCACACAGCUCUUUAGAGAUCUGUUCACGCAGGUUUCCAGACAUGAACCGCUUGGAGUGGCCAGUGUGCAGGGAGAGAUCUGUAUUUCUCAUGAAACACUGAAGCACCAUUGGACUAUUAAUUGCUGGCUGUCUGUCACAUGACAUUUCUAACUGGCCAUGACACUCCUUACAGUCGCCUCUGAUGUCCAGAUAAUUAUUGUUGACAGUUGGAUGGACCUUUGCUCUUCGGAACACAAGUGUACAUGUAUUUUUGAUCUUCUUCCAUAUAAGAUCGUUGAUGAUAUGAGUCCAAGUGCCAGGUUUCAAAAUUGUGUAUUCCCUUUUUUGGGUAGGAGAAAACUUGUCAUUGUAUUCAACCGUUUCAGGAAUAAAUUUAACCCAGUCCUCAAAAGGGACUUCUAGUUCAAAAGCUUGACAGUUUUCUUGUCCAGGAGAAAUGCAAUGUGAAUCUAACUCUCCUUCACUAUUACUUUCCUG
ensembl:lncRNA